rnacentral:rRNA from 1 species
UACGGAGGGGGCUAGCGUUGUUCGGAAUUACUGGGCGUAAAGGGCGUGUAGGCGGUUCGGUAAGUGGAAUGUGAAAUCCCCCGGCUUACCCGGGGAACUGCAUCCCAUACUGCUGGACUUGAGUGCGGGAGAGGAUGGAGGAAUUCCUGGUGUAGCGGUGAAAUGCGUAGAUAUCAGGAGGAACACCUGUGGCGAAGGCGUCCAUCUGGCCCGUUACUGACGCUGAGGCGCGAAAGCUAGGGGAGCAAACGGG